ensembl:lncRNA
AGGUGAGUUAAUUUAGAACAAUCAAGGCGCCAUUUUUAAAGUAUUCUCAUAGCCCCUGACGCGGGUAGGACGCGUAGUGCUGAGCUUGGCCCCAUUUCACAGAGGAGGGGACUCUCUGGGUGUCUCCGCGGCAGCAGGAGGGCGCGGCCGAAGCCCCAAGCCCGGUCCUCCGCCGCCACCAACACCUUCCAGCCGGCCGGGUAUCCCCCUGCCGGCUGGGACUUUCGACUUUAUCAGCUCGACAGCAGCAAGGCCUCUGCAGAGAAGGCGAUGGCACCCCACUCCAGUACUCUUGCCUGGAAAAUCCCAUGGAUGCAGGAGCCUGGUUCCAGGGACCGAAGGCUGGACAUCUGGGGAACAGGGGCAGGGGUGUGAUUCUGCUGUCCACAGGACAAGCCCAGGCAUGUGAGCUGGCGCUGUGUUCCUCUCUCAGAAGACCUCUAAGCCUGCCCUACUGGUUAACUAGGCAAAAUGAUGGCCUCGAGGAAAUAAGCUCUGGGUAUUCUUGGGAAAAAUCACACCAUCAAUCCACACUUCAGUUUCUUUAUCUGUGAGAUUACAGAGGUGACUGUUCUCUAAAGCG